UGUGUGUGAUGUUAGUGAUGUGUGUGUGAUAUGUGUGUGAUGUGUAUGUGUGUGUGUGUGAUGGAUGUGUGUGUAUAUGUGAUGUGUAUGUUCGUGUGUGAUGUGUGUGAUGUGUGUUUGGGUGUGUGUGUGUGAUGUGUGUGAUGUGUGUGAUGUGUGUGUGAUGUAUGUGAUGUGUGCGUGUGUAUGAUGUGUGUGUGUGUGAGUGAU
rnacentral:lncRNA from 1 species